rnacentral:snRNA from 1 species
GUGCUCACUUUGGCAGCACAUAUACUAAAAUUGGAACCAUAUAGAAAAGAUUAACAUGGCCCCUGUGCAAGAAUGACAGGCAAAUUUGUGAAGCGUUCCAUAUUUUU